ensembl:processed_transcript
AGCAGUCAUGCUUUCUCUGAGACCCUGAGAUCCUGGUGUGACCAAGCUUCUGGGAUGCUGGGAACCCUGCAUCUCUAACACAGGAGUAUUGAUCUCUGUUACACUAAAGUGUAUGUGUUCACAUGAAUGCAGGCACUCAUGGGGACCAAAAGAGGAAUACUUCAUGCCAGCAGAAGAAUCCAGCCUCUGUGACAACCAUAGAAAUGUGCUGUUCUUUAAUCGCUGGCUGACUCAAUUGUGGUGAACACCAGAGGAACAAGCUUUUUGUGUUAAAGUUCUUUCUGUGUCUUUGGGUGUGCCAUCUUGUGUGUGUGGGCAAAUGGCAGCAUGUAGUCAGGGUGGCUGUACAGGUGGCGCUUGGAGAAAGGACAGCUGUAAGUGCCCCCCACCCUAUUUGCAGAAAACCAAGUUACUUCUUUUGUUUGGAGAGAAUGUAGCAAUUACUUGAAAUUA